GAGAAAACUAUAAUAAAUCUUCUCAUUUGUUUUCUUUUCCUCUUUUCUUGCAAGUUGCAAUCCAUUCACCAGCCGAAACAAAAACCGAUCAAAAUUUCCUCAUUUGCUUCGCUUUGCUUUCUCAUCCUAAAUCCCAAAUCAACCUAUUACCACCCUCUCAUCUUGGGGCAAAAAUCCCUUGAGAUUCGUCUAAGCCCCCAUUACCCCAUCCUAUAGAAUCGUCCCAACUCAACAACCAGUAAGAGGAACGGUGACUGGCAUAAAAGUCGAACCGAGAGCUUCAAGGAUUUGGUGUCACUAUUCAGGUGCCUAAGAGCUCCACCAUAUAAGUUCAUCAGGUUUCCAUAAAUCCUAUAGCAGGUUCAAUGGAUUAAGAAUUGGGUUUUUAUUUGAGUCAUAAAAAUUUAUGAAAUUUGUUAAGGAAUGUAGCACCUAUAUAUCAAACGAAGAGGUUGAUUUUUGGGUUUGUUUGUUGUAGUCAGAUUGGGUUAUGCUAUUAAUUAAUCAAAGGAAGAGGUUGAUUGGGUUUCAUCAGGUUGAUUGGAAGCACAUCUCAGACGAGUUUCUCCAUAAUGGGUUUGUUUGUUGUGGAAGAGGAUAG
rnacentral:lncRNA from 1 species